rnacentral:rRNA from 1 species
UACGUAGGGGGCAAGCGUUGUCCGGAAUCAUUGGGCGUAAAGAGUGCGUAGGCGGUUCUGUAAGUGUGUUGUGAAAUCUCACGGCUCAACUGGGAGGGUGCGCCGAAGACUGCAGGGCUUGAGUAUGGGAGAGGUAAGCGGAAUUCCUGGUGUAGCGGUGAAAUGCGUAGAUAUCAGGAGGAACGCCUGUGGUGUAGACAGCUUGCUGGAGCAUAACUGACGCUGAGGCACGAAAGCGUGGGUAGCAAACAGG